UGUGGGAGCUGGCUUGCCUGCGAUGACGGAGUGUCAGCGAGCAUUUCUCAUACUGACCCACCGCUAUCGCAGGCAAGCCAGCUCCCACA
rnacentral:antisense_RNA from 1 species